rnacentral:tRNA from 1 species
GCGCGUUGCGGAUGCCGCUGUCGAGCAUCCGGCUCAGCCGGCCGCGGCGGUACGGGCUGUCCGUGUCGCUCGUCGGUUCCAGGCCGAUCAGCUCGCG